UACGAAGGGGGCUAGCGUUGUUCGGAUUUUCUGGGCGUAAAGCGCACGUAGGCGGAUCGUUAAGUCGGGGGUGAAAUCCUGGGGCUCAACCCCAGAACUGCCUUCGAUACUGGCGAUCUAGAGUCCGGAAGAGGUGAGUGGAACUCCUAGUGUAGAGGUGGAAUUCGUAGAUAUUCGCAAGAACACCAGUGGCGAAGGCGGCCAACUGGUCCGAUACUGACGCUGAGGUGCGAAAGCGUGGGGAGCAAACAGG
rnacentral:rRNA from 1 species